rnacentral:rRNA from 1 species
GACGAACGCUGGCGGCGUGCCUAAUACAUGCAAGUCGAACGCAGUGGGGACGGGUGAGUAACACGUGGGUAACCUCCCAUCAGAGGGGAUAACACUUGGAAACAGGUGCUAAACCGAUACUGAUGGAUGGACCCGCGGUGCAUUAGCUAGUUGGUGAGGGAACGGGUUACCAAGGACACGAUGACUAGCCGAUCUGAGGGGGUGAGCAGCCACACUGGGACGUAGACACGGCCCAGACUCCUACGGGAGGCAGCAGUAGGGAAUUUUCGGAAAUGGACGAAAGUCUGACCGAGCAACGCCGCGUGAGUGAAGAAGGUUUUCGGAUCAUAAAACUCUGUUGUUAGAGAAGCGGUAUCUAACCAGAAAGCCACGGCUAACUACGUGCCAGCAGCCGCGGUAAUUC